GGGCGAGGACCCGAAGGCGCCGUUCUCACAGCUGCGAUCAAGCGACGUACCGAAGACGCUCCUGCCGAGGAACUCAUCGAUUCCCGACGACGCCAUGACAACCCGGAAGUUCUUGCAGACCGACAAGAAAUGGAGCCCAUAAAAUACCUCGAGCAUGGUGUCGUUAUCCCAUAAAGUAUGAUGAUGGCCACCGCUACGUGCACGACGGUGGGUAUGAGCCAACGGUGGUGGCUGCGCUGGUAGUUUCAUAGGACCCAGACCACCGAUUGGCGCCGGUCGGUAAACAGGACUCUCCAAUUUAUCUUUCGAGAGCUCAUGAAGAUUCGGAUAAACUAUCGGAGCGUUCUAAAAUCUGCACGUAGCCAAUCAGUGAAACGUAUCCGAAUAAUAAUAUAAAGAGUUCGCGUUUACUUGAAUUUAACCACAAUUGAAUCCUCUACUGGUUACUAUUCGUAAAACACGUGACCUUGAACGUGCAGAAAAGUAAAAGGUUUCCGCGUUCACCCAGUAAGUCGACAAGGGCACGUGGAAACGGUAAAAUGCAUUACAUGCAGAUCUCCGUGGCAUAGUAAUCAAUAAAAUUAUGAAUAUUCAUCGCAUAUCGGAAUCUGAUAUGUACAGGAAUAUUUAUAAAAAUACUUAUCAGAUGCAUACACCAAGUUUUGUCAAUGUAAUAUAAGAAUUUCCAGCCACAGAAAAUCUCCACCGAAUAGUCAAACUUACAGAUUUCUCUUAAAAUAAUAUGGCUCAGGGGCUAAUGGAUGUGUGAAAUGUAUAAGAGAAGGACAAUUGACUAAGUAAAGGGUAAAGUUAAACACGAAGGAAACAGGAAGGACUAUUAAGCAAUAAAUUGUCAAGUGUCAACAUGGCUGAACUAUAUUCAUUAAUUAUAUCACGAGGGAGUCAUGAUAUUCAAAUAACGCGUCAACUGUAUUAAUCAUUUUCGCCUUCGCCAAUGCUUAAAUUUGCUUAGGUAAUUUUUCGAAUCAUUACUGAUGUCAUCGGAGGAGGGAUCAAUCAAUUCGCAACGUCUGGAUCAACGCAGAAGAAUAAAUGGAAUAAGGACGCCCAUGACCGUGUCGAUGAUUGACGCUUUUGAGUUCAGGCGCAGCCAUCGAGACGGCCUGGGGACGCCAAGUCGGAAAACCUUCACGCGCUCUCGCGGAUCGAUGACCAGCAAAAUCAUCAAAUUCUUACUUCUUGCGCGUCUCCGUUCUAUCUGAAAGCUCGCAAAAUCGAUCUGGGAUCGAUAACGCUCAUUGUCACAGAUUACGUAAACAUCAACUCGACUCCCAGCCCGGAACUGACACAACUGACCCCCUUUGAUUAAAAGAAUCUCUUAGUAGAUCCUAGAGUUACGAACUACUGCAAGAAUUGUCGAAUCGAUCGGUAUCGUUUUUAUUCGAUGUUUACCUACUGCUCGUUACGAGUCGAUUGACUUGACUCUAUUCUACUUCUUCACACUGCUUUUCGUUAAGGAAUUCAAUCACAACGAUGAUGAUGCGACAAAUCACUAAAUUCGGCAACGCAGCAAAGGAGUAUCAAAUUUUUCCAUGAAGUAUCAAUUCGCAAUUGUCGGCCAAUGGAGAAGCUCAAAAUUAAUCAGACGGACUUCUACGACGGAAGUUCGCCUUACGUCAAGUGGAGUGUAUACGGGAGUGUGCCUGUGGAUUACGGGAAAACCAACCGGAAGGCUUUGCUGGAAAGAAAUGGAGUCGCCGAGACAGGUGGUCGUUGCUAACGUCAAAAUGAAACUGGUUUAGCGAGACAAGCGUGGGAAGAGAUGGCGGAUGUUGUUGAGUGUAAUGAUAAAAACGAAAAUGCAGACAGAUUUAUGGUAGCAGAUUGGACGGACGUUAAAAGACAAUUGAGGGAUACGUAAUUGACUACGUUAGUCGAAGCUUCCUAAUUUCCUCAAGAACGACGCUCGUAGCAAUUGCUAUUUAAAUUAAUAAUAUUUAUAUAAAAUCUAAGUAGGAUAUUUGUCAAUUAUCAUACAUAAUAUAUUGUUCUUUUAGCAAAUCCAAGUUUUCGCUAAAGGUACAGUAAAUUGACAUCCGGUUUUAAUGUCGCUGACGUCUAGUGAUUCGUGUUAGUGUCAUUUAGGCCUCAGGCGCUGUAAUUCGAUGACGGAAUAGAGAGACCUAACUUUGCUUUUAUCCACCGCUGAUUUCUCUAAGGAUUCUGUUUGGAAGAUAUACCAUAUACUCUAUAGUAAAAUAUAUUGCUUGUUUUUAAUGUCAACAGGAAAAUGUAUAAGUUGCAUAAAUCAAUAUGACGAAUAAAAGGAAGAAGUCAAUUUUCAUUUUAUGUCCCAGGGAGAAAAGGGGCGUGAAGGAGGCGACAUAUGUGUCCACUGGUGAAAAUAAGUUAUGAAUAAAGUAAUCAAUAUAAAUAAAAAGAAAUAAUAAGACAACUUUAGAUUCUUAGAACGUAUACUGUGUUUGCUUAAAUUUUUAUAUAUUAUCCGUACGUGAAAUUCGUGAAUUUUCGUACGACGUAAUAAAGUUAUAGGGUGAAAAGAGGGUUAUGUAAAAAAAAAGAAAAUGAAAUAGAAUAUCUAUGAGACAUUCUAUUAUUUUUAAAAUAAUUAUUCGCAAUGACUUACCUUUCAUCUGAAUUAGUCACCUGUUAGGUUCAAUACGUUUAGUCCUAACGUAGAAAUAAAGCAGACUCAUUACAUAGAAAAUGUUACUUCCAUAUUCAUUGACGCGAAAAUUAUUUUUUUAAUUUUACGUAAUCACGAAAAGAACGUCUCUUACAUUGUCCCGACGUACACACGAACCAUUCACAAUGUAUUUUACACUCAACGUUAAUUUAACAGAUUUCGUUAUGGAAAUUGAAUAAUUAAUUAAAUUAAUUAUUAUUUUAAAAUGUACCUAGACCAAGUCUUAAGAUUAUUCUAAUAAACUGUAUCUCGCAGUACAACGUUAUCAAAUGACAAGGAAUGUGAAAAAUCUAUGACAACACGACGCAGUCGUCUCACAGGAAUGCACUUUAAGAAAUGUGUAAAAUCAUAUCAUUCCUACCUACCACUACCGAUAUUAAUAACAGCAACAAUAAUUUCAAAGAUCAAUUGUAUUAGUAAAGUGUCAGUAAAAUGUAAUAUUUCGAUUUACAGUAAUCCGCGCACCCACUUGUUUACGUGUUUUCGCGAGGAUUUUUAGAACGUUAUUUGAUUUUCGCAGCGCGACGAUUAUCCUGGGACUUUAUUUUCAGCUUAUUUCAGCCAAACACAACGUAAAAAAUUGAUAUCAAUGGAGACCUGAGAGAUUUGAAUUGUAGAAUUCCAGCCUGAGGUAAACUGGAUGCGAUUCGUACUCGAAUGAGGGUUGGAUUCAUCUGGCACGUAGCAGCGGUUCUUCUCUUCCCUCCCGAUGGGUCGAUAGGAGCGAGAGUGCGUACAAGUUGUUUCGAUUCUUAAGGCUCGUCCACACUUUCCAAAUUUAUAGCAGGUAUCAUCGACUCAAAUCUCUCAUUUUUUAAAAAUAAAAUCUCUUACGAGCUGCUCGUGUCUACCUGAAACAACUGCAGACGUAUCGAAUAAUUCAAUUGACAGAAACGACAGAAGAACGUCCCACUGAAGAUAUUUUAAUGUCCACAGAAAUUUUAACACUCAAACUUCAAAGCAAUGUCACGAAUAUAAUGAAAUGUCUAUUUAUUAUUUUUAUACCGCAAAAAUUCAAAAUUAUUCAAAAGUCCGUUACGAUUUGAAUGUCUACUGCUAUUACCCAGAAUGCACUGCGAUUAGUUUAUCGCGAAGUAUCGUACAAUGGACGACAUAAACACAAUGUCACUGUCUCUAGAUGACUAACCUUCCUGAAUACCCGUGAGCAUAUGCUGUUCUCUGUGCUGUUAAUUAACAGAAGAUAGUGCAACCUGUCAAGCUGUAUUAUCAUGUAAGUGGAAUGGAGUCUCAAGAUAAACUGCAUCAUUUACAUGGGUCCAUGAUCACCUAACUUAUGUAAAUAUCUCACAAGUAUCCACUUCUACGAGCGUAGCCAUAACCUAUGAGAAAA